rnacentral:lncRNA from 1 species
UCUAGCAAACUCGUGAGCACUAGCUUCAUAACCAGCAAUAAUAUUUGCAUGAACAUGCAGAUAAGGAGUGAGUUAUAUGCAAAUAUAACCCAGUAAGAUCCGCGACUGUGAAUACCCUGGAACAAGUAUUAGAAAAUACAAACACAACAACAUCAAGCAUGAUAUAAUAAGCACAACAAUUAUAUCACAACACAAUAUAUAUACCAACAGAGUUAAUGAGAAUUAACCAACAAGAGUACACCGCAUAUCAACACAAUCCACACAAAGGACUUGUCAUAAACAGCAGUGAAGUAAAUUAACUAAACAUCCUGACGAGUCCACAUCAGCAUACACAACGCCCCAAAAGCGUACUGCAUCAGCAUAUAUAGUCCCCUAACAUAUUACGACAGCGUAUGCAUGCCCCUAAUAUAUAUAUCACGGCAACAAAGGAAUGAUAUCAAACGCCCCAACGCCCUGGACACAACCAUGCCACACUACAAAAUAUUUUAUCAUAAGAAUUUGAGUACACUUGAAAAAAUAAAGUAUACGCAGCUGGCCACCGAUUCUGCCAAUCACACGCUUGUUCGAAUGCAUGGACCAGGUGGACAAAAUAUAUUUCAAAACGGGCUUUGAAAAGCAAACAUCAAAGCUUAAAGUCUUAGUUACUUCAAAUUCUCAAUUUUAGCACGCUUUCCAAUGAACCAGAAUUAUUCUACGAGGUCCACAAAAAUGGGUUUAAAAUGGUCUAAACCCCUUAGGUGAACAUCCAGUUAAUUUUUAGCACAAGUUAAACUCAUGGUCAAAGGUUGACCUAAAAAAUCGACUCUGGUCAACGGGUAAGAAUUCCCUGCCCAUGGCUGCGAGAGGAUUCCAAAAUGCUAAUCAAAAUCAAAUUUUAGUAACAAUUCCUCUCUUUAAUUUGUGUUCUACCCGUUAAUUGAUAGGUAUAAUCUGUUGUAAACCUUACUACAGUGUUUAACAAUGUCCCAUAACAGAUUUGGAGUAUAAAGAUUACCUCUUCCGUGGCUUUAAUCCAAGAGCUCAAAGCUUGAAAUUCUUGAGACUUUCUCAAGGAGAAUCUGUCAUGAUUCAAGGUUUACAGCGUUAUCAUCUCUUCCUAAUUCAAUGGAAUUGACUCGAAAAUGUCAUGGAAUACUUACCUUGGUGGUCUUAGGGCUUGGGGUUGUCCUUAGCUCUCAAAAACACU